rnacentral:rRNA from 1 species
UCGUGUGAUGACUUGUCUGGUUAAUUCCGAUAACGAGCGAGACCUCAACCUGCUAAAUAGUUUUGAUUAGGGCGUUUUCUCCGGAAAGCCUCCUAGUUACAUGAAACUUCUUAGAGGGACUUUUGACGAAAAGUCAAAGGAAGUUUGAGGCAAAAACA